rnacentral:rRNA from 1 species
CGAACGCUGGCGGCGUGCCUACUACAUGCACGUCGAGCGAGCGGAACUAACAGAUUUACUUCGGUAAUGACGUUAGGAAAGCGAGCGGCGGAUGGGUGAGUAACACGUGGGGAACCUGCCCCAUAGUCUGGGAUACCACUUGGAAACAGGUGCUAAUACCGGAUAAGAAAGCAGAUCGCAUGAUCAGCUUUUAAAAGGCGGCGUAAGCUGUCGCUAUGGGAUGGCCCCGCGGUGCAUUAGCUAGUUGGUAAGGUAAAGGCUUACCAAGGCGAUGAUGCAUAGCCGAGUUGAGAGACUGAUCGGCCACAUUGGGACUGAGACACGGCCCAAACUCCUACGGGAGGCAGCAGUAGGGAAUCUUCCACAAUGGACGCAAGACUGAUGGAGCAACGCCGCGUGAGUGAAGAAGGUUUUCGGAUCGUAAAGCUCUGUUGUUGGUGAAGAAGGAUAGAGGUAGUAACUGGCCUUUAUUUGACGGUAAUCAACCAGAAAGUCACGGCUAACUACGUG